UACCAGCUCUCCGAGUUGUAGGGAUGAUUAUUGGGCUUAAAGCGUCCGUAGCUGGCUUAGCAAGUCUCCUGUUAAAUUCAGCGACCUAAUCGUUGAGCCGCGGGAGAUACUACUAGGCUAGGAGGCGGGAGAGGUCGACGGUACUUUCGGGGUAGGGGUGAAAUCCUAUAAUCCCGGGAGGACCACCAGUGGCGAAGGCUGUCGACUAGAACGCGCUCGGCGGUGAGGGACGAAAGCUGGGGGAGCGAACCGGAUUAGAUACCCGGGUAGUCCCAGCUGUAAACUAUGCGGGCUAGGUGUUGGGGUGGCUACGGGCCACUUCAGUGCCGCAGGAAAGCCAUUAAGCCCGCCGCCUGGGGAGUACGGCCGCAAGGCUGAAACUUAAAGGAAUUGGCGGGGGAGCACCACAAGGCGUGAAGCUUGCGGUUC
rnacentral:rRNA from 1 species